AGCGCAGUCACGACGCCGCCACGGCCCGCCCCGGGCCCGGCCCCCCGACGCCACGGCUCCGGGCAGCGCCUGGGAACCACUCCAGGGGCCCGUGGCUGGUACUCCCAGAGGCGAGGAGCUCAUACCGAGGGCGAGGCGUUCCCGGAUAUUGCUGCAGUCUGAUGGAACUGAAGCUGGUGGCUGGCUGUGCGGCAGGGUGAAGGUGGACGACCUGCAGCUAACACAGUCUCUCAGGUCCUUGGUUUGAAGAUUCAUCUGGAAGGGUUUGUGAAAACGAAGUUAAAUACACUCUACACUUGCAGCGAUCAAUUCAAAAGGGCCUUUGCAAUCCCUUGGCUCAGCAACCUCAGUCCAAUUCAGAGGAGGAACCUGCUAUUCAUAU